rnacentral:rRNA from 1 species
GAUCAUGGCUCAGGAUGAACGCUAGCUACAGGCUUAACACAUGCAAGUCGAGGGGGCAGCAUGGUCUUAGCUUGCUAAGGCCGAUGGCGACCGGCGCACGGGUGAGUAACACGUAUCCAACCUGCCGUCUACUCUUGGACAGCCUUCUGAAAGGAAGAUUAAUACAAGAUGGCAUCAUGAGUCCGCAUGUUCACAUGAUUAAAGAUUUAUCGGUGUACGA